rnacentral:rRNA from 1 species
AACGAACGCUGGCGGCAUGCCUAACACAUGCAAGUCGAACGAGACCUUCGGGUCUAUUGGCGCACGGGUGCGUAACGCGUGGGAACCUGCCCUUAGGUUCGGAAUAACUCCCCGAAGGGGGUGCUAAUACCGGAUAAUGUCUUCGGACCAAAGAUUUAUCGCCUUUGGAUGGGCCCGCGUUGGAUUAGCUGGUUGGUAGGGUAAAAGCCUACCAAGGCGACGAUCCAUAGCUGGUCUGAGAGGAUGAUCAGCCACACUGGGACUGAGACACGGCCCAGACUCCUACGGGAGGGAGCAGUGGGUAAUAUUGGACAAUGGGCGGAAGCCUGAUCCAGCAAUGCCGGGUGAGUGAUGAAGGCCUUAGGGUUGUAAAGCUCUUUUACCCGGGAUGAUAAUGACAGUACCGGGAGAAUAAGCUCCGGCUAACUCCGUG